rnacentral:rRNA from 1 species
GGACUACCCGGGUAUCUAAUCCCGUUCGCUCCCCUAGCUUUCGCACAUGAGCGUCAGUGAUGAGCCAGGAUGCUGCCUUCGCCUUUGGUGUUCUUCCAGAUCUCUACGCAUUUCACCGCUCCACCUGGAAUUCCGCAUCCCUCUCUCACCCUCAAGUCUCCCAGUUUUUCAAGGCCUGCGGGAGUUAAGCCCCCACCUGUCACUCGAAACUAGAGAAACCGCCUGCGUGCGCUUUACGCCCAAUAAAUCCGGACAACGCUUGCCCCCUACGUAUUACCGCGGCUGCUGGCAC